UAUGUAGGGUGCAAGCGUUGUCCGGAAUUAUUGGGCGUAAAGAGCUUGUAGGCGGUUUGUCGCGUCUGCUGUGAAAAUCCGGGGCUCAACCCCGGACUUGCAGUGGGUACGGGCAGACUGGAGUGUGGUAGGGGAGACUGGAAUUCCUGGUGUAGCGGUGGAAUGCGCAGAUAUCAGGAGGAACACCGAUGGCGAAGGCAGGUCUCUGGGCCACUACUGACGCUGAGAAGCGAAAGCAUGGGGAGCGAACAGG
rnacentral:rRNA from 1 species